GUGUUGCGCGUUCGUAAAUUCGUCAGUUAUUCUGCGCCCUGGCACACUCAGGUGAGAGUGCUCUGAAAUCGGAGUAAAAGCCAGAGUAAAUUUACGAAGUGUGCAGCAAGUUCGAAAAGCAGCUGGAGCAUAAUGCAUUUUUAAAAAAUAUUUCUGCCGUUGAUGAUGUCACUUCUUUGUUUACUUCAGCCAAUGAAUGCCACAUUUGUUACAAGAUGAAACCAAAAUAUACUCAGCCAAAGGUUCCAGAAGGAGGGAGGAGACAAUGCGAGGGAAUGUUCACAUUUAGCUGCAUUUCCUGCUCCCAAGAGAUGGUGGCUCCCUAUCCCGCUCUGUCAGGGAUCUGCAGUUACUUAGCUCCAGCUCCGAAGAAGAUGACGACAAAUCAUCCAGCUUUGAGCCACCCCUGCUUACCUCACCCGCCGCUAUCAGAAAAGUUUGAAAUGGUACCAGGCCAUGCGCAGCGAGAAGAAGACCAAACAUCAUAAGAAGAAGCUUGAGCAGCUUUGUGAUAAGCAGGACCCUCUGGUAUCCAGGCGAGACCCACAGCCACUCUGGGUGCUGGGGAGGGGACGUCUGUCUUUAAACCCUACCCGGGAGGGAAGAGGAAAAGGAGCCCGUUGUCAAAGAGAGAUCCCCUGCCGCCCAGCCGGGUGAAGAGAUAAGACCGCCGGUCAUGGCGCCGACAGCUAGACAGCAGUGCCUCAGACUCCCCACCAUCUGAUGCCAGCGUCAUGCUCAGCCCACCCUACACCCACACCCCCUUUCUCUCCCCCACAGAUACCAGUGCUCCUCCUCACCCUACUCCUCUUUCUAGCACAUCUCCCAACACCCUAAUACUUUCCCCUUCCUUCUCUUUCAGUAUGUCUUCCAGUGCCCCUAGCACCCCAGUACGCACACAGUUAUUCACCUCCAGUGCCCCUUGCACCCCACAACAUGGGACCUUUCGCAGGGAGCAGAGAUGGAAACUCGAGUCUGAGACUCGGACUCGAGUCACACUUAAAUCGCAAAGAAAAUGACUUGCGACUUGACUUAGACUCAUGAUCAAUUGACUUGAGACUUGACUUGGACUCUAGAUGAGAGACUUGUGAACAAUGCAAGUCAGUACUGGGAUAAGUUUUUGUUGUGCAUUCUGUCAGAUAACAUGGAACAGGCGGCAUUGUAACACAGAGAUAGUAGUUUAAUACAGAGGGCUGAAAAGCGUUCUAGAACGGCUGCGUCAUUUGUACGUUACUGUAGUACUACAGCUAAACAAUUGUAAUCAGCAACAAUGUCAUCAGGUGGUGAGGCUUUCGUUAUUACAUUUGGUUACAAGAACCUGCAGUAUAAUGCCAGAGGCAAAAAACGAAAUGCUGUUUGCAAAACUUGUGGAAUUAACAUUAAAGAUGCA